UUCGCUCCAUCACCUGAGCUGGUUAUAGUAAUUGGUCUUGCUUCAUAGCAAGCAAGGUCAUGGAGGAAACUGCCACAGAAAUUAGUCGGCUUAAAUCGACUGUUGGAAAACUACAGAUGCAGGUUUCGGAGAUGGAGCGAAGGAUUGGGUUUUUGGAGCGGUCUGGGACGAUGGGGCGGGAGAAGCGGGGUCUUGAGCUUUCUGCUGAAGGGGAGGAACAUGGUUCCAAUGCUAAGCGCCAGAAGGCCCCUGCUCUUGCGAGUGUGAUCGUGGAAACGCUCAAGGUGGAUAGUUUGCAAAAGCCUUGUUCAUCAUUGGAGCCUGUUUUUCGUAGAGUUGCGAGUGAAGAAGUGGAGCGUGCUUUAGCGAAGUUGGGGUCUGCCAGGAUUGGUACCAGGUCUUCUCCUAAACGAAUUGAAGGACCAGAUGGAAGAAAUCUGCAACUCCAUUUCCAUUCAAGGUUGUCGCUGCCACUUUUCACAGGAGGGAAAGUAGAGGGGGAGCAAGGAGCUGCUAUUCAUGUUGUGUUACUAGAUGCGAACACUGGUCAUGUCGUAACAUCAGGACCUGAAUCAUCUGCAAAACUAAAUGUUGUAGUUCUUGAAGGUGAUUUUAACAAUGAAGAUGACUGGACAGAUGAAGACUUUGAAAGUCAUGUAGUCAAAGAACGUGAAGGAAAAGGGCCUCUUUUAACUGGGGAUUUGCAGGUAUCCUUGAAAGAAGGUGUGGGGACGCUUGGGGAACUAACAUUUACUGACAAUUCAAGCUGGAAACAAAGUAGGAAGUUCAGACUUGGUUUGAAAAUCGCUUCAGGCUUCUGUGAGGGAAUUCGUAUCCGCGAAGCAAAGACAGAACCCUUCGCAGUUAAGGAUCACAGAAGCGAAUUGAACAAGAAACACUAUCCUCCUGUUUUGAAGGAUGAUGUCUGGAGACUGGAAAAGAUUGGCAAGGAUGGCUCGUUCCACAAAAGGUUAAAUAAGGCAGGAAUUUAUACAGUAGAAGAUUUUUCUACGUCUCGUUGUGAGAGAUUCACAAAAAAAUUGCGGAAUAUCCUGGGAAGUGGCAUGUCAAAUAAGAUGUGGAAGAGCUUAGUGGGGCAUGCAAAGACUUGCGUCCUAAGUGGGAAGUAUUAUGUAUACUAUUCUGAUGAUACAAGGAAUUUUGGUGCUAUAUUCAAUAAUAUCUAUGAAUUUGUUGGGUUAAUUGCUGGUGGGCAAUAUUAUUUAGCCGAAAGCCUCGGUGACUGCCAGAAGGUGUUUGUCGAUACCUUAGUGAAGAAGGCAUAUGACAAUUGGAUGAAUGUUAUAGAAUAUGAUGGGAAGGCCCUUCUAAAUUUCACACGGAAUGAAGUUCCAUCUGCCCAGGCAAAUUAUUCUGCUUCCUAUGAUCAACAACAUGUCUCUCAAGCCAGCCUAUCAGUUUCUGUUCCUUCUGAUCAAUCUUUAAUUGAUACAGGAGUGACCGUGGGGGUUGUCAUCUCAAGUAGCUAUGGUGGAAAUCAAUCAGGCCAAUGUUCCACUCAAACUGAGCAUGUGGCGCCCAAUGCUCAGUUACAGUAUGAAAGCAGUUCAUGUAAUUCACAAAAUCAGUUCAUCGAUUCUUCUCAGCAGGCCCAAAGCACAAGAAAUGAUAGUACCGGCUUGGUAUUGGUCCCCUCGCAACAACCUAGCUUGGGUUUCCAAUCCAUGAGUCAGGCCUUACAGCCAUCUAACCUCAAUUCAUAUGAUGACAGUACCACCCAUCAAAGAGAUCUCUCUGAUGAAGAUAUACACAUGAUAACUCACAAACUGCUAGGGAAUGAAGAUGACCGGACCACCCAUCAAAGAGAAAUCCGAGUUGAUGAUUUCUUCACUGAGGAAGAAAUUUCCAUGAGAAGCCACAAACUGCUAGAGAAUGAAGAUACGCAGCAUUUGCUCCGUGUCCACAGCAUGGGUGGUACUGCUCACUUGGCAGAAGAUGGAUUUAGUUUUCCCUCAUUCAUGCCAUCACCAUCCCCUAACUAUAACAUUGACGAGGAUCUCAACCACAUAUCAGGCAAAGUUGUCGUGGGAUGGCUUAAAAUUAAGGCUGCUAUGAGAUGGGGAAUAUUUAUUCGAAAGAAAGCUGCUGAGAGAAGAGCUCAGCUUGUUGAGCUCGAGGAAUGAGAAUCUCAACCUUACAAGUGUUAGAAUUCAUGGUAGCAGUUGCCAAUCUCAGAUGACCUUUGUGACAACUCGAGGAUGGUUAGUGAUCACAAAAUUCUAACGUUUAGUGUCGCAACAAGGGAUCCACUUGUACCAUUUAUCUCUACAGCAAGCCGUCCUUCCGUGUUCACUGCUAAUGUUUAGUAAGUUUGAUGAUUACCGAUCAUUCUGUCACCGCAAACUAUGCACAUGAGCUGGAACAAACUCGAACUCUUUGAUGAUUACUGUUGGAGGUGAUGCAGAACUAGAACUUGUUGAUUAUUUGGAUCCUUUAUCUGAGGGUGUGGUUUUCAGUGUCAGACCUCCAAAGAAGAGCUGGAAGAAUAUUGCCAACCUAUCUGGUGGAGAGAAGCUUGAGGAAUAAUGUGUUUGAACUGGCUGACCGACUCGUCGGCAUCUAUAAGACAGACAAUUGCACAAAGAGCAUCACUAUAAAUCCUGGAAGUUUUGUAUAGAUUGAUUGUGAUAAAGAUUAAUCAUGGAACAACGACAUGACGCUAAUUGUGAGAUGUCGAAUACUAAUCCAUCUUUCGAUGUUCGGUAGUAAACUCAAUUACUCGACAUUGCUAUGUAAACGGCUUAUUAUCAUUAUGAAAGGAUUGUAGACACUUGUAUGUAAACUGAUUUAGAAUCUUCAACAGGAAUUAAUUAUGAAGGACU